CCAAUCCAUUAACAAUAAAAAAAGAUGCAACCUCUUCUUCUUGUGUUUGUAAUAUCAGUUGCAUCAAUAAAAACACUGUAUGGAAGCAAUGGAAUUAUGUAUCCAUCUUCAUUGUCAACGCUCAGUGAAGUUCCCAAUUGUCCUAGAAAUUAACAUGACUGGGAAGAAGCUGCAGUUAAAGAGGAUUGUAACCGAAUUCAAAAAGUGACAACAAGCCCUUUGUUUAUCACUGUUUAAUAAACGAAUGGGCGAAUGCUACAGUUGACGUGUGUGCUCCAACGUAGUUUAUCGCAGGAUUCUGUGCAAUGUACAGUUCUUCAAAUGCAAGAGUUAUUGACAAUUUAAACUACGACUGCACCAAAUACACCCCCCUUUCCCACAACGAUACGAUUCAUCAGAGGCUUACAAAUAUGGCGUUUGCUAUGACAUUGCACGACCUACAACAACACAAUUCAUAACAAAAAUCAACGUUACACAGACGAGCGUAACAGAAAGCACAAAAGAUAUGAUCACAGAGACAGAAUACUUGACAUCCACUAGUACAUUCAGCAGUGAUGGAUUAACCACAACCCACUUUAUACUUGUUACUGUUAUUCCCACUGCGUUCUUCAUUGUCUUAUUAGUUGGAUUAUUAUUCAUUUGCAAAAUCAUCAUGGGAAAAAAAAGAGCAAGUAAAGAAAAUGAGAUCCUUGACAAAGUAGAAAAGGAACCCUUAGAUCGUGCCCUUGCAGGUGGAGUUGGUUCAAUUAAUAUAGGAGAAAAUAAGGAAAUAUCAAGAACUUCAUAAAAAACUGAAAUUGAUGUAAAGAAAAGCUGGAUACUGUGAAAAAUAUCCAAUAGUGGUGUUUAGAAAAGAAUUAAAGAAAUGACAUGCGGACUUUUGUUUAUAUGUUUUUGAAUUCUGUAAGUAGGAAAAGUUCCCUUCCACGAAUCUUUUUUUUUUUACUUUCAGUUUGUCUUACCUUCUUGCAAUCAAACGAAGAUGUCAUCAGCUUAUCAAAACUACCGUGGCUUUGCUUAAUAAACAGCUUUGAAUUCUUUACAAAUAUAAAGAGCAAGUGAAAAGGGUGGA